UACGAAGGGGGCUAGCGUUGCUCGGAAUCACUGGGUGUAAAGCGCACGUAGGCGGAUUCUUAAGUCGGUGGUGAAAUCCUGGAGCUCAACUCCAGAACUGCCUUCGAUACUGGAGAGCUUGAGUCCGGGAGAGGUGAGUGGAACUGCGAGUGUAGAGGUGAAAUUCGUAGAUAUUCGCAAGAACACCAGUGGCGAAGGCGGCUCACUGGCCCGGUACUGACGCUGAGGUGCGAAAGCGUGGGGAGCAAACAGG
rnacentral:rRNA from 1 species